UGCUCGUCUGGAUGCGUGUCCCUUCUCUAUUCCACCCCUUUGUGAACCAAGUGUGCGAGCCGAUGAGAGAUCGGAGGCUCGCAUGCAACCCUUAACAUACCCCAAUGAAGUAUCAGAAUGUACCUUGCGUUAACUCGCACAAAUACAACUUUCAACAACGGAUCUCUUGGCUCUCGCAUCGAUGAAGAACGCAGCGAAAUGCGAUAAGUAAUGUGAAUUGCAGAAUUCAGUGAAUCAUCGAAUCUUUGAACGCACCUUGCGCCCCUUGGCAUUCCGAGGGGCACGCCUGUUUGAGUGUCGUGAACUCCUCCACCCUCUACCUUUUUCGGAAGGCACUGGGCUGGGAUUUGGGAGCUUGCGGGUCCCUGGCCGAUCCGCUCUCCUUGAAUACAUUAGCGAAGCCCUUGCGGCCUUGGUGUGAUAGUCAUCUACGCCUUGGCUUAGCGAACAUAUGGGAAUCGCUUCCAACCGUCUCGCAAGAGACAAUCACUACCAACUG
rnacentral:rRNA from 1 species